rnacentral:rRNA from 1 species
GUUGGCGAUAUAUUGUCAGUGUUUUAGAGAAAUCGUUAAGUGAUCCACCUGGGGAGUACGUUCGCAAGAAUGAAACUCAAAGGAAUUGACGGGGGCCCGCACAAGCGGAGGAGCAUGUGGUUUAAUUCGAUGAUACGCGAGGAACCUUACCAAGACUUAAAUGUAUUUUGACAGGUUGAGAAAUCAACUUUUCUUCGGACAAUUUACAAGGUGCUGCAUGGUUGUCGUCAGCUCGUGCCGUGAGGUGUCGGGUUAAGUCCCAUAACGAGCGCAACCCCUAUUUUUAGUUACCAGCGAGUCAUGUCGGGAACUCUAGAAAGACUGCCUGUGUAAACAGUGAGGAAGGUGGGGAUGACGUCAAAUCAUCACGGCCCUUAUGUCUUGGGCUACACACGUGCUACAAUGGUCACUACAGUGGGCUGCCAUCUGGCAACAGAGAGCAAAUCCAUAAAGGUGAUCCCAGUUCGGAUCGGAGUCUGCAACUCGACUCUGUGAAGUUGGAUUCGCUAGUAAUCGUAUAUCAGCAAUGAUACGGUGAAUACGUUCCCGGGCCUUGUACACACCGCCCGUCAAGCCAUGGAAGUUUGUGGUGCCUGAAGUCAGUAACCGUAAGGAUCUGCCUAGGGUAAAACAGAUAACUAGGGCU